rnacentral:ncRNA from 1 species
UUUAAUUUGACUCAACACGAGAAACCUCACCAGGACCCGGACACCGGAAAGAUUGACAGAUUGAGAGCUCUUUCUUGAUUCGGUGGGUGGUGGUGCAUGGCCGUUCUAGUUGGUGGAGCGAUCUGUCUGGUUAAUUCCGAUAACGAACGAGACUCUGUCCUGCUAACUAGGCGGGUAAACCCGGGUCGGCGUGUGCGCGGCGCUGGCGGUUUCGACCGUCAGUGUUCGCGUACCCGUCGGCUCGGCCCGGUAUCCCCGAACGCGUUCGCCCGUCGUCCACGGCGGUCGUCGGGCGCGGCCGCGCCAUCCGCGUCCCGGCGUUCGGCGGGCGUAUGUCGGCCGGGGGGCAACCUCCGGUCGGCCUGCGUCCGUCGUGCGUCGGGCUCCGUGGUGAAGCGCGCCGUGUUCGCGGCCGUCGCCGGCGGAUCACGAUACGUUACUAGGGCUACCGCCGGCUCCCAGGAGCUUAAACUCUUCUUAGAGGGACAGGCGGCGGACGAACAUAGCCGCACGAGACUGAGCGAUAACAGGUCUGUGAUGCCCUUAGAUGUUCUGGGCCGCACGCGCGCUACACUGAAGGAAUCAGCGUGUUUAACAAUCCUGGGCCGACAGGCUUCCGGGUAACCCGCUGAACCUCCUUCGUGCUUAGGGAUCGUGGCUUGCAAUUUUUCCACGUGAACGAGGAAUUCCCAGUAAGCGCGAGUCAUCAGCUCGCGUUGAUUACGUCCCUGCCCUUUGUACACACCGCCCGUCGCUACUACCGAUUGAACGGUCGCAUUGAGGUCUUCGGAGUGGACGCGCGUUAUUCGGCCC